CCGAUAUGAUGUAGGUGGU
rnacentral:snRNA from 1 species